rnacentral:rRNA from 1 species
AUUGAACGCUGGCGGCAGGCCUAACACAUGCAAGUCGAGCGAGCGGCGGACGGGUGAGUAAUGUAUGGGGACUGCCCGUUAGAGGGGGAUAACUACUGGAAACGGUGGCUAAUACCGCAUACUAUCCGCUAACCCAUCUGGGAUUAGCUAGUAGGUGGGGUAAAGGCUCACCUAGGCGACGAUCUCUAGCUGGUCUGAGAGGCUGAUCAGCCACACUGGGACUGAGACCCGGCCCAGACUCCUACGGAGUCAGCAGUGGGAAAUAUUGCACAAUGGGCGCAAGCUUGAUGCAGCAAUGCCGCGUGUAUGAGGAGGGCCUUAGGGUUGUAAAGGACUUUCAGUCGGGAGGCGUUACCGACAGAAGAAGCACCGGCUAACUCCGUGCCAGCAGCCGCGGUAAUUC